UGGGGAAUCUUAGACAAUGGGGGAAACCCUGAUCUAGCCAUGCCGCGUGAACGAUGAAGGCCCUAGGGUUGUAAAGUUCUUUCAGCGAGGAAGAUAAUGACGGUACUCGCAGAAGAAGCCCCGGCUAACUCCGUGCCAGCAGCCGCGGUAAUACGGAGGGGGCUAGCGUUGUUCGGAAUUACUGGGCGUAAAGCGCACGUAGGCGGAUCAGUCAGUCAGGGGUGAAAUCCCGGGGCUCAACCCCGGAACUGCCUUUGAUACUGCUGGUCUGGAGUCCGAGAGAGGUGAGUGGAAUUCCGAGUGUAGAGGUGAAAUUCGUAGAUAUUCGGAGGAACACCAGUGGCGAAGGCGGCUCACUGGCUCGGUACUGACGCUGAGGUGCGAAAGCGUGGGGAGCAA
rnacentral:rRNA from 1 species